UACGGAGGGGACUAGCGUUGUUCGGAAUUACUGGGCAUAAAGGGCGCGUAGGCGGCCUACUAAGUCAGACGUGAAAUCCCCAGGCUUAACUUGGGAACUGCGUCUGAUACUGGGAGGCUUGAGUGCGGGAGAGGGAUGUGGAAUUCCAGGUGUAGCGGUGAAAUGCGUAGAUAUCUGGAGGAACACCGGUGGCGAAGGCGGCAUCCUGGACCGACACUGACGCUGAGGCGCGAAAGCUAGGGGAGCAAACGGG
rnacentral:rRNA from 1 species